ensembl:snRNA U6 U6 spliceosomal RNA
GUCCCAGUUUGGUAGCACCCAUACCAAAAUCGAAAUGAUACAGAUAUAAGCAUGGACCCCACAUAAGAAUGACAUAAAAAUUCAUGAAGCAUUCCAUAUUUGA